AUUGAACGCUAGCGGUAUGCCUUACACAUGCAAGUCGAACGAGUGGCGGACGGGUGAGUAAUAUAUCGGAACCUGCCCAGUAGCGGGGGAUAACUACUCGAAACAGUGGCUAAUACCGCAUACUAUUGGAUCAGCCGAUAUCGGAUUAGCUAGUUGGUGGGGUAAAGGCUCACCAAGGCGACGAUCCGUAGCUGGUUUGAGAGGAGGACCAGCCACACUGGGACUGAGACACGGCCCAGACUCCUACGGGAGGCAGCAGUGGGGAAUAUUGGACAAUGGGCGAAAGCCUGAUCCAGCCAUACCGCGUGUAUGAGAAGGCCUUCGGGUUGUAAAGUACUUUCGGCAGGGAAGCGGUACCUGCAGAAUAAGCACCGGCUAACUACGUGCCAGCAGCCGCGGUAAUAC
rnacentral:rRNA from 1 species